GGCAUGGCUCAGUAAAUAGAGUGUCUGUCUGGCAAGCAGGAGGUCCUGAGUUCAAACCUUACUGCUACCA
rnacentral:tRNA from 1 species